rnacentral:rRNA from 1 species
AGAACGAACGCUGGCGGCAUGCCUAACACAUGCAAGUCGAACGAGAUCUUCGGAUCUAGUGGCGCACGGGUGCGUAACGCGUGGGAAUCUGCCUUUCGGUACGGAAUAACUCAUGGAAACGUGUGCUAAUACCGUAUGAUGUCGCGAGACCAAAGAUUUAUCGCCGAGAGAUGAGCCCGCGUAGGAUUAGCUAGUUGGUGGGGUAAAGGCCUACCAAGGCGACGAUCCUUAGCUGGUCUGAGAGGAUGAUCAGCCACACUGGGACUGAGACACGGCCCAGACUCCUACGGGAGGCAGCAGUGGGGAAUAUUGGACAAUGGGCGCAAGCCUGAUCCAGCCAUGCCGCGUGCAGGAUGAAGGCCUUCGGGUUGUAACUGCUUUGUACGGAACGAAAGGUCUUUCUAAUAAGAGGGCCCAUGACGGUACCGUAAGAAUAAGCACCGGCUAACUACGUGCCAGCAGCCGCGGU